GCCGCAGCCGCAGCCGCAGCCGCAGCCGCACCCCGGGGCUCGGGCCCCCGGGCCCCCGCCCCUGAUCCACGCGCGGACCCCGCAGCCAGAGGACCAUGGCCGGCCAGGGGGACUGCUGCGUCAAGGUGGCCGUCAGGAUUCGGCCCCAACUGUCAAAGGAGAAGAUUGAGGGCUGUCACAUCUGCACCUCUGUCACCCCCGGGGAGCCCCAGGUCCUUCUGGGGAAGGACAAGGCCUUCACCUAUGACUUUGUCUUCGACCUGGACACCUGGCAGGAACAGAUCUACUCGACCUGCGUGAGCAAGCUCAUCGAGGGCUGCUUCGAGGGCUACAAUGCCACAGUGCUGGCCUACGGACAGACAGGGGCCGGGAAGACAUACACCAUGGGCACCGGCUUCGACACGGCGACGUCAGAGGAGGAGCAGGGCAUCAUUCCCAGGGCCAUCGCACACCUCUUUGGGGGCAUUGCUGAGCGCAAGCGGCGGGCACAGGAGCAGGGUGUGGCUGGGCCUGAGUUCAAAGUCAGCGCUCAGUUCCUAGAGCUCUACAAUGAGGAGAUCCUUGACCUGUUCGAUAGCACCCGUGACCCUGAUGCCCGCCACCGCAGGUCCAACAUCAAGAUCCACGAGGAUGGCAAUGGUGGCAUCUACACCACAGGUGUCACCUCCCGCCUCAUCAAUUCCCAGGAGGAGCUGAUCCAGUGCCUGAAGCAGGGGGCCCUGUCCCGCACCACGGCCAGCACCCAGAUGAACGUGCAGAGCUCCCGCUCACACGCCAUCUUCACCAUCCAUGUGUGCCAGAUGCGCGUGUGCACCCAGCCCGAGCCAGUGAAUGAGGCAGUGACUGGGCUUCCUGAGGGCACCGCUCCCACCAGUGAGUAUGAGACACUCACCGCCAAGUUUCACUUCGUGGACCUGGCUGGCUCCGAGCGGCUGAAGCGGACGGGGGCCACCGGCGAGCGGGCCAAGGAGGGCAUCUCCAUCAACUGCGGCCUGCUGGCCUUGGGCAACGUGAUCAGCGCCCUGGGGGACCAGAGCAAGAAGGUGGUCCACGUGCCCUACAGGGACUCCAAGCUCACUCGGCUCCUCCAGGACUCGCUGGGGGGCAACAGCCAGACCAUCAUGAUCGCCUGCGUGAGCCCCUCCGACCGGGACUUCAUGGAGACGCUCAACACGCUCAAGUAUGCCAACCGGGCCCGCAACAUCAAGAACAAGGUGGUGGUGAACCAGGACAAGACGAGCCAGCAGAUCAGCGCGCUGCGGGCCGAGAUCGCGCGCCUGCAGAUGGAGCUGAUGGAGUACAAGGCGGGCAAGAGGGUGAUCGGGGAGGAUGGUGCCGAGGGCUACAGCGACCUGUUCCGGGAGAAUGCCAUGCUGCAGAAGGAGAACGGGGCGCUGCGCCUGCGGGUGAAGGCCAUGCAGGAGGCCAUUGACGCCAUCAACAACCGCGUCACUCAUCUCAUGAGCCAGGAAGCCAACCUGCUCCUGGCCAAGGCCGGUGAUGGCAACGAAGCCAUUGGCGCUCUGAUCCAGAACUACAUCCGGGAGAUCGAGGAGCUGCGGACGAAGCUCCUGGAGAGCGAGGCCAUGAAUGAGUCCCUGCGCCGCAGCCUGUCCCGGGCCUCGGCGCGGAGCCCCUACUCCCUGGGCGCGUCUCCGGCUGCCGCGGCCUUCGGGGGCAGCCCGGCCAGCUCCAUGGAGGACGCCUCGGACGUGAUCCGCCGGGCCAAGCAGGACCUGGAGCGGCUCAAGAAGAAGGAGGUCAGGCAGCGGAGAAAGAGCCCCGAGAAGGAGGCCUUCAAAAAGAGGGCGAAACUGCAACAGGAAAACAGUGAGGAGACGGACGAGAACGAGGCUGAGGAGGAGGAGGAGGAGCGAGACGAGAGUGGCUGUGAGGAGGAGGAGGGGCGUGAGGACGAAGACGAGGACUCGGGCAGUGAGGAGAGCCUGGUGGACUCGGACUCGGACCCUGACGAGAAGGAGGUGAACUUCCAGGCAGACCUGGCCGACCUGACGUGCGAGAUCGAGAUCAAGCAGAAGCUGAUUGAUGAGCUGGAGAACAGCCAGCGGCGGCUGCAGACUCUCAAACACCAGUAUGAGGAGAAGCUGAUCCUGCUGCAGAACAAGAUCCGAGACACGCAGCUGGAGCGCGACCGGGUGCUGCAGAACCUCAGCACCAUGGAGUGCUACACGGAGGAGAAGGCCAACAAGAUCAAGGCGGAUUACGAGAAGCGCUUGCGGGAGAUGAAUCGGGACCUGCAGAAGCUGCAGGCUGCGCAGAAGGAGCACGCGAGGCUGCUCAAAAACCAGUCCCGCUACGAGAGGGAGCUGAAGAAGUUGCAGGCCGAGGUGGCCGAGAUGAAGAAGGCCAAGGUGGCCCUGAUGAAGCAGAUGCGUGAGGAGCAGCAGCGACGGCGGCUGGUGGAGACCAAGAGGAACCGGGAGAUUGCUCAGCUCAAGAAGGAACAGCGGCGACAGGAGUUCCAGAUCCGAGCCUUGGAGUCCCAGAAACGGCAGCAGGAAAUGGUCCUGAGGAGGAAGACCCAGGAGGUCUCAGCGCUGAGGCGCCUGGCCAAGCCCAUGUCCGAGCGGGUGGCCGGGCGAACGGGACGGAAGCCACCCAUGCUGGACUCCGGGGCCGAGGUGUCGGCCAGUACCACCUCCUCUGAGGCCGAAUCAGGGGCCCGCUCUGUCUCCAGCAUCGUGCGCCAGUGGAACCGCAAAAUCAACCACUUCCUGGGGGACCACCCUGCGCCUGCUGUCAACGGCACCCGUCCUGCCAGAAAGAAGUUCCAGAAGAAGGGGGCGAGCCAGAGCUUCAGUAAGGCUGCAAGGCUCAAGUGGCAGUCCCUGGAGCGGAGGAUCAUUGACAUCGUCAUGCAGAGGAUGACCAUCGUCAACCUAGAGGCUGACAUGGAGCGGCUCAUCAAGAAAAGGGAGGAGCUGUUCCUCCUGCAGGAGGCGCUGCGGAGGAAGCGGGAGCGGCUGCAGGCCGAGAGCCCGGAGGAGGAGAAGGGGCUGCAGGAGCUGGCAGAGGAGAUCGAGGUGCUGGCGGCCAACAUAGACUAUAUCAACGACAGCAUCACCGACUGCCAGGCCACCAUCGUGCAGCUGGAGGAGACCAAGGAGGAGCUGGACUCCACGGACACAUCAGUGGUCAUCAGCUCCUGCUCCCUGGCCGAAGCCCGCCUCCUGCUGGACAACUUCCUCAAGGCAUCCAUCGACAAGGGGCUACAAGUGGCACAGAAGGAGGCCCAGAUCCGGCUGCUGGAGGGGCGGCUGAGGCAGACAGACAUAGCGGGUUCCUCCCAGAACCACCUGCUCCUGGAUGCCCUGCGAGAGAAGGCGGAGGCACACCCUGAGCUGCAGGCCCUCAUCUACAACGUGCAGCAGGAGAAUGGCUAUGCCAGCACCGAUGAGGAGAUCUCCGAGUUCUCCGAGGGGAGCUUCUCCCAGUCCUUCACCAUGAAAGGUUCCACCAGCCAUGACGACUUCAAGCUCAAGGGUGAGCCCAAGCUGUCUGCCCAAAUGAAGGCCGUGUCGGCCGAGUGCCUGGGUCCCCCGCUGGAUAUCUCCACCAAGAACAUCACCAAGUCCCUGGCCUCCCUUGUUGAGAUCAAAGAAGACGGAGUGGGCUUCUCCGUCCGAGACCCCUACUACCGGGACAAGGUCUCGCGUACCAUCAGCCUGCCCACGAGGGGCAGUACCUUCCCCCGGCAGUCUCGAGGCACGGAGACAUCCCCUCUGACCCGAAGGAAGUCGUAUGACCGAGGGCAGCCCAUUAGGUCCACCGACGGGUUCACGCCCCCUUCAUCCCCUCCUACCCGGCCCCGCAACGACCGCAACGUCUUCUCUCGUCUCACCAGUAAUCAGAGCCAGGGGUCAGCACUGGACAAGUCUGAUGACAGCGACUCCUCUUUGUCGGAGGUCCUGAGGGGCAUCAUCACCCCCGUCGGAGGAGCCAAGGGUGCGAGGACGGCCCCGCUGCAGUGCGUCUCCAUGGCCGAGGGCCACACCAAGCCCAUCCUCUGCCUGGACGCCACGGAUGAGCUGCUGUUCACGGGAUCCAAAGACCGCAGCUGUAAGAUGUGGAACUUGGUCACGGGCCAGGAGAUCGCGGCCCUCAAGGGCCACCCCAACAACGUGGUGUCCAUCAAGUACUGCAGCCACUCGGGGCUUGUGUUCUCUGUGUCGACCUCCUACAUCAAGGUGUGGGACAUCCGGGACUCGGCCAAGUGCAUUCGGACCCUCACGUCGUCGGGCCAGGUGAGCUCCGGGGACGCCUGUGCGGCCACGUCCACACGCGCCAUCACCAGCGCCCAGGGCGAGCACCAGAUCAACCAGAUCGCCCUGAGCCCUUCGGGCACCAUGCUGUACGCCGCCUCGGGCAACGCCGUCCGCAUCUGGGAGCUCAGCAGGUUCCAGCCGGUGGGCAAGCUGACUGGCCACAUCGGCCCUGUGAUGUGCCUGACGGUCACCCAAACCGCCAGCCAGCACGACCUGGUGGUGACCGGCUCCAAGGACCACUACGUCAAGAUGUUCGAGUUGGGGGAGUGUGUGACGGGCACCAUAGGGCCCACCCACAACUUCGAGCCCCCGCACUACGAUGGCAUCGAGUGUCUGGCUAUCCAGGGAGACAUCCUGUUCAGUGGCUCCCGGGACAAUGGCAUCAAGAAGUGGGACCUGGAGCAGCAGGAGCUCAUCCAGCAAAUCCCCAAUGCGCACAAGGACUGGGUGUGCGCCCUGGCCUUUGUCCCCGGCCGCCCCAUGCUGCUGAGCGCCUGCCGCGCGGGCGUCAUCAAGGUCUGGAACGUGGAUAACUUCACGCCCAUCGGCGAGAUCAGGGGCCACGACAGCCCCAUCAACGCCAUCUGCACCAACGCCAAGCACAUCUUCACCGCCUCCAGUGACUGCCGGGUAAAGGUGUGGAAUUACGUCCCCGGACUCACCCCCUGCCUUCCUCGCCGAGUCCUGGCCAUAAAGGGCCGAGCCACCACCCUGCCCUGACCCCCCUCCCGUCUCCUCUGUCAUCCUCCCCUCUUUCCUCUUCCCUCUCUUUCUCCGCCUCGGUCUGAGCUGCUUCUCAACGUGACCUGACGGUGAAGUUCUGGAGCGUACGGCGGUUGCCCGGUGGCCCACCCUAGGAGCACACAGCAGUCCUCACCCUGGCUGUCUUUCGAGGAUGGCCCCCAGACCCUCGGCCCCCCCGGAGCCUGGACAGCACAGAAGGGGAGCUGUGGUCUGACAGGGCCCCCAGCCCUGGGGACACAGGGUGUGGGCAUCGGCGAGGCCGCUCUCCUGCUCCGGCCUCUCCCCUGACCUUCCUACGGGAUGCUCUUCCCCUGGGCCCUCCCCUGCCUCUUGGGGAGAGAAGGAGGUUGGGGAGGAAUUUAAGCUGUGAAGCCAAAGGGCAUUCAUUCCCCCUCUCAUUUCUCUCCCCGCAGCCCCCCGGGGCUCCCCUCACCGUCCCUCUGGCCACAUUUUCUCCUGCGUCCUUAAGCCUCUGGCCCAGGGCUGGGGACCCAUAGGGGAGGGGAGGCAGCCCAGCACCUGCUAUGCCCCUCCCGACAGGAACAGGUCUCCCCCUACAUCCCCUCGUCCAGCCUCUGGAGCCACUGCACCUGCCUCUGAGCCCAAAACGAUAGUCCUCAGGUAACCACGGAAACCAGGUGUAGGCAGCUGGGCCCUGCAGCUGACCCUUAGCCCCUUGGCCACCAACAGCCACCCCCAGUUGACCCCGGCAACUCCUUGGGGUCCCUUUCUGAUGGGGCCAAGGUUGAGCUGCUAAAAAAAAUUCCUUUGGGGAGAUGGUCAGAAACACUUCAGCUAUUUAAUUUAUUAUUAUUAUUUUUUUAAUUUUUGGUUUUUGCUGUUGCCUCCUGGAAACUGACUUGAAGUUUCUCCCCGGAUGUUCUUUCCCUCAGCACUCGCGGGGGGCUGGGGGGGCCGGGAGUCCCAAAGGGAACCGCCCUGCCAGCCCUCCGGGGCCCCCUCCUCUGUUGGCUUCGCAGCUCGGGCCUCCCCAGCCCUGCCCCCAGGGACCGUCCCGCUGCCCCCCGACCUCUCGGCCGCCUGACGCUUCAGUGCCUUCGUCCACCCCGGGCCGGGCAGCCUUACAGCAGCCGUGCCCGCGGCACCACAUGUGCCCGCUGCCCCUUGGAGGCGGGAGAGCUGCACCCCGGGGCCCGGGGCGAACCCCCUCCCGAGUCCUGUUGGGGCCACGUAGGAAGCAGCUCAGAGGAUCGAGUCUACCGGGAGGUGGCUGGGACGGUGCGGACGGCCCAGCCUCCCCCCGGCUCCCCUGGAUGAUCAGCCCCGACAGAGCAGGGGUCCUUCCGGCCACUUUCUCUCUGGUUAUUCAGGAGACACAUUUUCAAGCCUUAAAGCUGGCACGGGGCCGCGGGCCCUCCCCGCCGGAUGGCGGUGACGAAGGAGUCCCUGGAGUUUCCUUUCGCUUGGGGCGCAGGCCUCGGCCCGGGGUGCGGGGAGAGCCGCCUGCCCGUGCCCCCUGUUGGGGCAAUUCUGCAUUCACAGGCCAGGCCUCGGGAGGAGUCUCGGGGCCCCCCGCCCCGCCCCACCCAGUGUUCUCCCAGCCCUUGCCCGCCCUUGUGCUUCCUGUCCCCGUCCCGUCCCCGUCCCGUCCCCGUCCGGCGGGCCAGGAGCCCACCUCUGUUCUGAGACGUGCAGUGACUUGGGGGCCUUCGGGAGGUAGCUCUGUGUGUCCUCCGUGCCUGUCCCUGCUGGGCCCGGCAGGGAGCCCCCACCCCACCCCCGGCUCGGAGCUGCCCCCGAGGCUGAGAACGCUGUGCUGUGGCCCCUGGCACCCGGCGGUGGAGUCGGACCAGCCUGGAGGCCUGGCCUCCUGCACCCGGGGACAGUCGCCUGCGCCGGCCAGUCCACCUCCCAGCCCCGCGGGGUGCUCGCCACUCCUCGGCCCCCGAGGGAGCAGCCGCCUCGCCCCCGCCCCCCCCCCCCCGUAAGACAGACGCCGUGUGCGUGACUGUUCACAGACUGCGAGACCCAGGACGCGGCGGCCGGGCCCCCGGGGGUCGCACAGCGAUGCCAGCGAGAGGUGCCCGGCCUGCGGGAGGUCCGACGGGGCAGCUACCUCACGGCGGGCCGGCUCCGCUGUCCGGGCCACUACCUUGGACUCUGAACUUGAAGUCCCUCGGGAGCCCCGAGCUCUUCCGGAAGCUGCGCUCCAGGAGCCCGGCGCCCCUGCGUCCUGCGCCGGGGACGGGACAGGGACGCCCAGGGACACGGUGAGGGGGCGGGCCCCCGGCAUCCUCAAGGUCGGAAGCACAAAACGGUUGUGAUUCGAGCACAGACGGCAAGGCCGCGGCGGUGGUGGUGGCGGGUGGCGGGGCCGGGCUGGUCCCACCGGGCACCCCCGCUCUGGGGAGGCGGCUCCUCACACGGACCCGGCCCAGCAUGGCCUGUCCUGCGCCCGCGGCUCGUCGUCUUUGGCUUUUUGCCCAUCGGCGACUUGCGUGUGGCCCGCGCCGUCGGCACACCCCAGCCGGCAGGUGCCUCGGCCGGGCCCUGGGCUGUGAUCGCGUCCCCGAGGUGGCACCUGCCGCAGCCUGGGCAUCGCCAAGGAGAGGCAUGCCCAGGCCUUGAGGUGGCCCGUGUGCCCCGUCCAGGCCCUCGGGAGGGACCCCGUGGCUCCGGGAGCCAUCUGGACGGUGGCUUCAGCCUGGGGUGGCGGGGUGGCCCCGGUUGGGUGGCCCUGCUGCCUCCCCGGGGCGGUGUCGCCGGGCGGAGGGCCGUUGAAGCACAAAACCACCGCAGAGGGCAGACUGUCGCUGCGGCUCUCACGCCCCCCCCCCCAGGGUGGUGGCCACGUAGGCAGCCGCCGCUGGGAUUCAGGGAGGCCCCGCUCUCUUCCCGCCCAUUGGGGCACCCCCCCCCCGGCUGCGGGCCCCAGCCUGCGCCCGGGGUGCUGCUGCGGGCAGGGCCUGCCCCGCGAGAGCAGCGAGUCGCCUCCCCCGAGUGGCCCCGCCGCGGCCCGUUUGCCGACCCAGACAGGAAGCCGCCCGGCGGCCCGGCCCAGGCUGUGGCCCCACAGGCCUCCCGGGCCUGGCCUUGCCCUCGGGCUCCUGAGCCCCCAGCCCUCCUACGCCCAGGACAGAACCUACGAGGACAGCUCUGUUUCCCGGGGCGUCCUCGUCCCCCUCCCUCGCCCAGCCCAGCGCCCCGGUGGGCACCCAGGCCUCAUCCCGAGGGCUUUGCAGGGAAGUAGGAACAACUCCAAGAGGAGCCGACAGUCAGAGAAGACCCCCGAAGUGAAUCAGGGCCCUGCCCUGCCACCAGCUCUUUUCUAGGGGUCACCCCCUGCCCAGGCUGCAGGGUCUCACCCGGCUGACGCCCUCCUCGCUACGCGGCUAGCACAAGUUGUAUAUAUGUUUUGUACCUCUGCUGAUGACUGUACAUAGUGUACGAAAGUUAUUUAAGCCUCAUGCUGUACAUUUCUGUUCCUAGACCGGAUGUGUGUGUGUUCUAAGUUGUCCUAAAUAAAACCCGAAUGACCACCGUG